CAGGGUAUUACGGUACAGAGUCAAUGUGGAGGCUAUAUACAGGGUAUUACGGUACAGAGUCAAUGUGGAGGCUAUAUACAGGAGGUACCAGUACCGAGUCAAUGUGAGGCUAUAUACAGGGGUUACCGGUACAGAGUCAAUGUGGAGGCUAUAUACAGGAGGUACCGGUACCGAGUCAAUGUGAGGCUAUAUACAGGGGGUUCCGGUACAGAGUCAAUGUGGAGGCUAUAUACAGGGGGUACUGGUACAGAGUCAAUGUGGAGGCUAUAUACAGGGGGUACCGGUACAGAGUCAAUGUGGAGGCUAUAUACAGGGGGUACCGGUACAGAGUCAAUGUGGAGGCUAUAUACAGGGUAUUACGGUACAGAGUCAAUGUGGAGGCUAUAUACAGGGUAUUACGGUACAGAGUCAAUGUGGAGGCUAUAUACAGGGUAUUACGGUACAGCGUCAAUGUGGAGGCUAUAUACA
ensembl:lncRNA